rnacentral:rRNA from 1 species
CCUACGGGAGGCUGCAGUGGGGAAUAUUGGACAAUGGGCGAAAGCCUGAUCCAGCCAUGCCGCGUGUGUGAAGAAGGCCUUCGGGUUGUAAAGCACUUUCAGUGGGGAAGAAAGCCUUGGGGCUAAUACCCUCGAGGAAGGACAUCACCCACAGAAGAAGCACCGGCUAACUCCGUGCCAGCAGCCGCGGUAAUACGGAGGGUGCGAGCGUUAAUCGGAAUUACUGGGCGUAAAGCGCGCGUAGGCGGUCUGAUAAGCCGGUUGUGAAAGCCCCGGGCUCAACCUGGGAACGGCAUCCGGAACUGUCAGGCUAGAGUGCAGGAGAGGAAGGUAGAAUUCCCGGUGUAGCGGUGAAAUGCGUAGAGAUCGGGAGGAAUACCAGUGGCGAAGGCGGUCUUCUGGACUGACACUGACGCUGAGGUGCGAAAGCGUGGGUAGCAAACAGGAUUAGAUACCCGUGUAGUC